UUAUACCCCAAAAAGGACAAAGUUCAAUUUUUCUCCCAAAAGAGGAAAAAUAAUAAAAAGAAAAAACCCUGACCACAUGCACACUUUCAAUACAUGUACAAACAGCUAGCAGAGUGAUAAAUUCCUAGCAUUCAAACUGUAGGAGGAGUUAUCUGGAAACGCCCUACUUAUUGCAAGUAAAUUUCCCAAAAACGACAAAGUUCAACUUUCUCCCAAAAGAGCACAUAUUAAUAAAAAUCAAACCCUGACCACAUGCAGUACAC
rnacentral:lncRNA from 1 species